UACGUAGGGUGCGAGCGUUAAUCGGAAUUACUGGGCGUAAAGCGUGCGCAGGCGGUUCGUCGUGUCCGAUGUGAAAGCCCCGGGCUCAACCUGGGAAUGGCAUUGGAAACUGGCGAGCUUGAGUGUGGCAGAGGGGGGUGGAAUUCCGCGUGUAGCAGUGAAAUGCGUAGAGAUGCGGAGGAACACCGAUGGCGAAGGCAGCCCCCUGGGCUGACACUGACGCUCAGGCACGAAAGCGUGGGGAGCAAACAGG
rnacentral:rRNA from 1 species